rnacentral:rRNA from 1 species
CCUACGGGACGCAGCAGUGAGGAAUAUUGGUCAAUGGGCGCGAGCCUGAACCAGCCAAGUCGCGUGAGGGAAGACGGUCCUAUGGAUUGUAAACCUCUUUUGUCGGGGAGCAAAAGACGCCACGCGUGGCGUUCCGAGAGUACCCGAAGAAAAAGCAUCGGCUAACUCCGUGCCAGGAGCCGCGGUAAUACGGAGGAUGCGAGCGUUAUCCGGAUUGAGUGGGGGUAAAGGGUGCGCAGGCGGAAGAUGAAGUCAGCGGUAAAAUUGAGAGGCUCAACCUCUUCGAGCCGUUGAAACUGGUUUUCUUGAGUGAGCGAGAAGUAUGCGGAAUGCGUGGUGUAGCGGUGAAAUGCAUAGAUAUCACGCAGAACUCCGAUUGCGAAGGCAGCAUACCGGCGCUCAACUGACGCUCAUGCACGAAAGUGUGGGUAUCGAACAGGAUUAGAUACCCUGGUAGUC